CCUACGGGGGGCAGCAGUGGGGAAUAUUGGACAAUGGGGGGAACCCUGAUCCAGCCAUGCCGCGUGUGUGAAGAAGGCCCUCGGGUUGUAAAGCACUUUCAGUGAGGAAGAACGCCUGGUGGUUAAUACCCAUCAGGAAAGACAUCACUCACAGAAGAAGCACCGGCUAACUCCGUGCCAGCAGCCGCGGUAAUACGGAGGGUGCGAGCGUUAAUCGGAAUUACUGGGCGUAAAGCGCGCGUAGGUGGCUUGAUAAGCCGGUUGUGAAAGCCCCGGGCUCAACCUGGGAACGGCAUCCGGAACUGUCAAGCUAGAGUGCAGGAGAGGAAGGUAGAAUUCCCGGUGUAGCGGUGAAAUGCGUAGAGAUCGGGAGGAAUACCAGUGGCGAAGGCGGCCUUCUGGACUGACACUGACACUGAGGUGCGAAAGCGUGGGUAGCAAACAGGCUUAGAUACCCUGGUAGUC
rnacentral:rRNA from 1 species